CUACGGGUUGCAGCAGUGAGGAAUAUUGCACAAUGGGGGAAACCCUGAUGCAGCAACGCCGCGUGGAGGAUGACGCAUUUCGGUGUGUAAACUCCUUUUAUAUGUCAAGAAAAUGACGGUAGCAUAUGAAUAAGCACCGGCUACUCCGUGCCAGCAGCCGCGGUAAUACGGAGGGUGCAAGCGUUACGCGGAAUCACUGGGCGUAAAGGACGCGUAGGCUGGUUGGUAAGUCAGGUGUGAAAUCCUACAGCUUAACUGUAGAACUGCACUUGAAACUACCAACCUAGAGUAUGGGAGGGGGAGAUGGAAUUAGUGGUGUAGGGGUAAAAUCCGUAGAUAUCACUAGGAAUACCGAAAGCGAAGGCGAUCUCCUGGAACAUAACUGACGCUAAGGCGUGAAAGCGUGGGGAGCAAACAGGAUUAGAUACCCGGGUAGUC
rnacentral:rRNA from 1 species